CUUCGGGUGCGUUAAUGGGCGUCGAGCGGCGGACGGGUGAGUAAUGCCUAGGAAAUUGCCUUGAUGUGGGGGAUAACCAUUGGAAACGAUGGCUAAUACCGCAUAAUGCCUACGGGCCAAAGAGGGGGAUCUUCGGACCUCUCGCGUCAAGAUAUGCCUAGGUGGGAUUAGCUAGUUGGUGAGGUAAUGGCUCACCAAGGCGACGAUCCCUAGCUGGUCUGAGAGGAUGAUCAGCCACACUGGAACUGAGACACGGUCCAGACUCCUACGGGAGGCAGCAGUGGGGAAUAUUGCACAAUGGGCGAAAGCCUGAUGCAGCCAUGCCGCGUGUAUGAAGAAGGCCUUCGGGUUGUAAAGUACUUUCAGUUGUGAGGAAGGGUGUGUAGUUAAUAGCUGCACAUCUUGACGUUAGCAACAGAAGAAGCACCGGCUAACUCCGUGCCAGCAGCCGCGGUAAUACGGAGGGUGCGAGCGUUAAUCGGAAUUACUGGGCGUAAAGCGCAUGCAGGUGGUUCAUUAAGUCAGAUGUGAAAGCC
rnacentral:rRNA from 1 species